AGGUUAGUUACGUGCGUAUUGGGCUUGUAAUUUCCUUAUGCUCUAGCAUGCAUAUUGACUAUGUUGAACUAAUUCAGUAAUUAUCUUCUUUUAAAUAUUCAUUUGUUUAGUGAAUAGUUGAAUGUUUUUGUGUUCAAUUGUUACUACCUAUGAAUUUAAAACACUACGUGAGUAUUUUACAUGCACAUCAAUAAAAUUUUGCUUAAUAUGUUUAGGCCCCAGAUACUUUUUGUGACAAAGUGCCUUGCACUUUUGUGACUAUGCUCCUACAUUUGGCUUUCUUGGAGUUUUGAUCUAUCAUCCUUCUAUCUAUCUGUAAUUGCAAUUGACUAAACAUUCAUAUUUUUAAAUUAUAAUGCUCACAUAUUUUGCUAGUUGCAUGUAUUUGUCCAUUUUAGCAACAUAUGACAUU
rnacentral:misc_RNA from 1 species